AUAAGAUGAGAGUUUGAUCCUGGCUCAGGACGAACGCUGGCGGCAUGCCUAAUACAUGCAAGUCGAACGAGCUUCCGUUGAAUGACGUGCUUGCACUGAUUUCAACAAUGAAGCGAGUGGCGAACUGGUGAGUAACACGUGGGAAAUCUGCCCAGAAGCAGGGGAUAACACUUGGAAACAGGUGCUAAUACCGUAUAACAACAAAAUCCGCAUGGAUUUUGUUUGAAAGGUGGCUUCGGCUAUCACUUCUGGAUGAUCCCGCGGCGUAUUAGUUAGUUGGUGAGGUAAAGGCCCACCAAGACAAUGAUACGUAGCCGACCUGAGAGGGUAAUCGGCCACAUUGGGACUGAGACACGGCCCAAACUCCUACGGGAGGCAGCAGUAGGGAAUCUUCCACAAUGGACGAAAGUCUGAUGGAGCAAUGCCGCGUGAGUGAAGAAGGGUUUCGGCUCGUAAAACUCUGUUGUUAAAGAAGAACACCUUUGAGAGUAACUGUUCAAGGGUUGACGGUAUUUAACCAGAAAGCCACGGCUAACU
rnacentral:rRNA from 2 species